rnacentral:rRNA from 1 species
AGUGAACGCUGGCGGUAGGCCUAACACAUGCAAGUCGAACGGCAGCACAGUAAGAGCUUGCUCUUACGGGUGGCGAGUGGCGGACGGGUGAGGAAUACAUCGGAAUCUACUUUUUCGUGGGGGAUAGCGUAGGGAAACUUACGCUAAUACCGCAUACGACCUACGGGUGAAAGCAGAGGAUCUUCGGACCUUGCGCGAUUGAAUGAGCCGAUGUCGGAUUAGCUAGUUGGCGGGGUAAAGGCCCACCAAGGCGACGAUCCGUAGCUGGUCUGAGAGGAUGAUCAGCCACACUGGAACUGAGACACGGUCCAGACUCCUACGGGAGGCAGCAGUGGGGAAUAUUGGACAAUGGGCGCAAGCCUGAUCCAGCCAUACCGCGUGGGUGAAGAAGGCCUUCGGGUUGUAAAGCCCUUUUGUUGGGAAAGAAAAGCAGCAGGUUAAUACCCCGCUGUUCUGACGGUACCCAAAGAAUAAGCACCGGCUAACUUCGUG